UUUUACAUGACAACAUCAAAACAUCUGGGAAUAAUGUCAUGUUGCAAUGGUCGUUAUGAGUAUGGUACUUUAAUCAGAAUUCAAGUGGUGUAACUAUUCCAAUGGAUAAAAUGAUACAGAGGGGUUCCAUAAACAGGAAGUAGUAUUAUACAGUACAGGAAGUAGUAUUAUACAGUACAGAGGUUCCAUAAACAGGAAGUAGUAUUAUACAGUACAGAGAGGUUCCAUAAACAGGAAGUAUUAUUAUACAGUACAGAGAGGUUCCAUAAACAGGAAGUAGUAUUAUACAGUACAGAGAGGUUCCAUAAACAGGAAGUAGUAUUAUACAGUACAGAGAGGUUCCAUAAACAGGAAGUAGUAUUAUACAGUACAGAGGGGUUCCAUAAACAGGAAGUAGUAUUAUACAGUACAGAGAGGUUCCAUAAACAGGAAGUAGUAUUAUACAGUACAGAGAGGUUCCAUAAACAGGAAGUAGUAUUAUACCGUACAGAGAGAUUCCAUAAACAGGAAGUAGUAUUAUACAGUACAGAGAGGUUCCAUAAACAGGAAGUAGUAUUAUACAGUACAGAGAGGUUCCAUAAACAGGAAGUAGUAUUAUACAGUACAGAGGGGUUCCAUAAACAGGACGUAGUAAAAUACAGUACAGAGGGGUUCCAUAAACAGGAAGUAGUAUUAUACAGUACAGAGAGGUUCCAUAAACAGGAAGUAGUAUUAUACAGUACAGAGGGGUUCCAUAAACAGGACGUAGUAAAAUACAGUACAGAGGGGUUCCAUAAACAGGAAGUAGUAUUAUACAGUACAGAGAGGUUCCAUAUACAGGAAGUAGUAUUAUACAGUACAGAGGUUCCAUAAACAGGAAGUAGUAAAAUAUAGUACAAAGGAGUUCCAUAAACAGGAAGUAGUAUUAUACAGUACAGAGAGGUUCCAUAUACAGGAAGUAGUAUUAUACAGUACAGAGGGGUUCCAUAAACAGGAAGUAGUAUUAUACAGUACAGGAAGUAGUAUUAUACAGUACAGAGAGGUUCCAUAAACAGGAAGUAGUAUUAUACAGUACAGAGAGGUUCCAUAAACAGGAAGUAGUAUUAUACAGUAUAGUCUAACAUCUGAACUCUCUCACUGAGGUUUGUGCCUUUAAUGUACCAGGUAUCCCUCCCUAAACCCUCCAUAGACCCUCCAUACCCUCCAUAUACCCUUCCAUAGACCCUCCAUAGACCCUCCAUAGACCCUCCAUAGACACUACUGUAAUGUCCUCUAUCAGAAUACAUCAACCAUCCAUAGACCCUCCAUAGACCCUCCAUAGAUAUACCCUCCAUCCAUAGACCCUCCAUAGACCCUCCAUAGACCCUCCAUAGACACUACUGUAAUGUCCUCUAUCAGAAUACAUCAACCAUCCAUAGACCCUCCAUAGACCCUCCAUAUACCAUCCAUAGACCCUCCAUAGAUCCUCCAUAGACCCUCCAUAGACCCUCCAUAGACCCUCCAUAGACCCUCCAUAUACCCUCCAUAGACCCUCCAUAGACCAUCCAUAGACCCUCCAUAGACACUACUGUAACCCUCUAUCAGAAUACAUCAACCAUCCAUAGACCCUCCAUAGACCCUCCAUAGACCCUCCAUAUACCAUCCAUAGACCCUCCAUAGACCAUCCAUAUACCCUCCAUAGACCCUCCAUAGACCCUCCAUAGACCCUCCAUAUACCCUCCAUAGACCCUCCAUAGACCCUCC
ensembl:lncRNA